GGGUGUAGACAUGAUGAUAUUUGGGAACCUACUCCAUCUUCUACCUCGUAUCAGCGGUCAUCUUCACGACAUCCUCUCAUUCCACCAUCUGGUGAUGCUCCUGAGGCUGGGGGUUCUGGAGCUGGUGCUGGAAGUGAUGAUGAUGAUGAUAAGGACACGGAGUGAUUUCUUCGUCGAGCUUAGUCUCUUUCUUUCACUGCAUUUGAUGUUUAGGACGAUGUUUUAGAUUUGCUUGCUUAUCUUUCUGUAGUAUGUUUUUACUUUCGUUUUAGGCCUGUAGCUAUGACUAGACUACUCUCAUGUUUUUCUAGUAUGUUUUCUCUUUCUAUUUGCUUUCUUUUGGCAAUUUUUGACAAAAAGGGGAAGAGCGUAGAUGAAGGGGAAGAGCAUGGAUGAGCAGGCAUUGAACUAAGCAAAGGAUGAUGAGUUCAAGAACAAAAGGGGAGAUGUGAUCGAGAUGUGAACAAAGGGGGAGAAGGUAUAAGUUUUAAGGUUAAUCAUUUUUGAAUGAAUUGUUUUGCAGGAAAUCAAGACUUCAAGACUCCUUGUUGCAUCUAAGUCAUAGAGUCUGUUUUAGGAGUUUUGAUGUAAUUUUGAGUUUCAAAUUGUAUUUGGAUUACACGCGAGGGGUUCAAUGUUUUGGUGAUGACAUUGAACUUCGUUUUUCCUUAAAAUGUAAUUGUUGAGUUUGUGUGUGUUUUGUCACGA
rnacentral:lncRNA from 1 species